AGAGUUUGAUCAUGGCUCAGAACGAACGCUGGCGGCAGGCCUAACACAUGCAAGUCGAACGCCCUAGCAAUAGGGAGUGGCGCACGGGUGCGUAACGCGUGGGAAUAUGCCCUUGACUACGGAACAACGUCGGGAAACUGACGCUAAUACCGUAUAAUGUCUUCGGACCAAAGAUUUAUCGGUCAAGGAUUAGCCCGCGUCUGAUUAGCUAGUUGGUGAGGUAACGGCUCACCAAGGCGACGAUCAGUAGCUGGUCCGAGAGGAUGAUCAGCCACACUGGGACUGAGACACGGCCCAGACUCCUACGGGAGGCAGCAGUGAGGAAUAUUGGACAAUGGGCGCAAGCCUGAUCCAGCCAUGCCGCGUGAGUGACGAAGGCCUUCGGGUUGUAAAGCUCUUUCAGAUGCGAAGAUAAUGACGGUAACAUCAGAAGAAGCCCCGGCUAAAUUCGUGCCAGCCGCCGCGGUAAUAC
rnacentral:rRNA from 1 species